rnacentral:snoRNA from 1 species
CUUUUCAUUGAUUUGCUGCCAUAGUCUCUCAGGGAUCUGAGCAGUUAAACAUGAGGGAUAAAAUAAUAUUGAGCCACUGUAAAUUGAGGUGAAGUAACUUAUCUCUUCUACAUGGUCUAGACAUUG